CUACUUAUAUGUCCCAGUUGAGACAAAUUGUGGUUCUACUAUGCUCGAUAUUAUAGUUUCAUAUGUCUCAUCUAUAUACAUAAUUUAUUUCUACGAUGAUGAGUGUGGUCUGUUACUUGACAAGUACUAGUGUCUAUGUCAAUGCCAUGUUUCCUGCUUGGAACUUUGGUGUGUAAUUCUGGUAAUAUAUGAAGCUGCAUUUUACUAUCUCUCUCUCUCUCUCUCUCUUAAUGAGGAAUUGUGGAAAGUUUUUAGACUCUUCUUUGAAUUAUUGAAUACUGACAAAUUGUAGUUUGAAAUAUGAGACAUGUGACGUUAACGAGUAAACGGUGGAGUGUGACUUUUCGAUACUUGGAACACAAAAUUCUUGAUGUUCC
rnacentral:lncRNA from 1 species